GGUCUCAAGCGUUGUUCUGAUUCAUUGGGCGUAAAGGGUGCGUAGGCGGCUCGGGAAGUCGGGUGUGAAAUCUCGGGGCUUAACUCCGAAACUGCAUUCGAUACUACCGUGCUUGAGGACUGGAGAGGAGACUGGAAUUUACGGUGUAGCGGUGAAAUGCGUAGAGAUCCGGAGGAACCCCAGAGGCGAAGGCGGCGUCCUGGCUCGCAUCUGACGCUCAGACACGACAGCAUGGGGAGCGAACGGG
rnacentral:rRNA from 1 species